rnacentral:sRNA from 2 species
CGGUUUGCGAGACAGACCCGUCGAAAAGCAGUUUAGUAAAGCAGUUCUCAUUUCAAGUGUUAUCCCAAGAUAUCCCUUCUUUUUGAGUCUCCUCCAUAAGCGCUAAGUAAAUUCUGUUAUGCAGGCCACGCAACGCCGUAAGGCUCAAUGAUUUUUUAAGGUGAUAACAUGUCUGACAAAAUGACUGGUUUAGUAAAAUGGUUUAACGCGGAAAAAGGUUUCGGCUUCAUCACUCCGGACAACGGCAGCAAGGACGUUUUCGUUCACUUCUCCGCUAUCCAGAACAACGGCUUCAAAACCCUGGAAGAAGGCCAGAAGGUCUCUUUCUCCGUUGAAAGCGGCGCGAAAGGCCCGGCAGCUGCGAACGUAACUGCCAUCUA